rnacentral:rRNA from 1 species
AUUGAACGCUGGCGGCAUGCUUUACACAUGCAAGUCGAGCGGCAGCGCGGGACUCAGGCAACUGAGCCCUGGCGGCGAGCGGCGAACGGGUGAGUAAUACAUCGGAACGUGUCCCGUAGUGGGGAGUAGCUCGGCGAAGACCGGACUUAAUACCGCAUAUGCUCUACGGAGGAAAGACGGGGAGUCUUUCUAGGCAACUGAGGGACCGUCCGCGCUAUGGAGGCGGCCGAUGUCCGAUUAGCUUGUUGGUGGGGUAACGG